UCGACAAUUCAUCCAAGCAAGUGAUUCCAUAAAUUUCAAAUCUAGGAUGAGGCAUAUAAUAAUGCUCAGUAUUCAGGCAUAUGAAACUGCAUCUUACGCAUGUGAGCCAUUCAAAGCUGAUACAAGGUGAGCCACGCAAAACUGGAAUGUCUCUUUCGUUUGCU